rnacentral:rRNA from 1 species
ACCCGUUGAUCCUGCGGGAGAACGCUGCUAUUUGAGUUCGAAUUAGCCAUGCAAGUCUGGGAGUCUUCGGACGACCGGCAGACUGCUCAGUAACACGUCAUUAAUCUGCCCUAUAGUCAGGGAUAGCCUCGGGAAACUGAGGGUAACACCUGAUAGUGUAUACAUGCUGGAAUGCAGUAUAUAUCAAACUCGUGCUAUAGGAUGGGAUGGCGGCUGAUUAGAUUGUUGGUGGGGUAACGGCCCACCAAGUCUAUGAUCAGUACGGGCCUUGAGAGAGGUAGCCCGGAGAGGGACACUGAGGAACUGGUCCCAGCCCUACGGGGUGCAGCAGGCGCGUAACCUUUACAAUGCACGCAAGUGUGAUAAGGGGACUCAAAGUGCUCAUGCUUUGCAUGGGCUUUUAUUAAGAGUAAAUAUCUUGAUGAAUAAGUGGUGGGCAAGACUGGUGCCAGCAGCCGCGGUAACACCAGCGCCACAAGUGGCGUUCGCGAUUAUUGGGCCUAAAGCGUCCGUAGCUGGUUCUGUAAGUUUUUUGUGAAAGAGUGGAGCUUAACUCUACUUCGUGCAAGAAAGACUGCAGGGCUUGAGACUGGAAGGAGUAAGAGGUAUUUCUGGGGGACUGGUAAAAUGGAAUAAUCCCAGAAGGACCACCAAUGGCGAAGGCAUCUUACUAGGACAGUUCUGACAGUGAGGGACGAAAGCCAGGGGAGCGAACCGGAUUAGAUACCCGAGUAGUCCUGGCCGUAAACGCUGUGUGUUAGGUGUUGCAGUUCCUAAGAGGACCUGCAGUGUCGUAGGGAAGCCGUUAAACACACCGCCUGGGAAGUACGGUCGCAAGGCUGAAACUUUAAGGAAUUGGCGGGGGAGCACCACAAGGGGUGCGGCGUGCUGUUUAAUCUAACUUUACGCAGAGAAUCUCACCAGAGGCGACUGCUCGAUGAUAGUCAGUCUAAAGGGCUUACUAGAGUAGCAGAGAGGUAGUGCAUGGCCGCCGUCAGCUCGUGCCGUGAGGUGUCCUGUUAAGUCAGGAAACGAGCGAGACCUGUAUCUAUAAUUGCCAGUGGCUACCACGGUAGGACCGGGCACAUUAUAGAGACUGCCUUGGAAACAAGGAGGAAGGUGCAGGCAACGGUAGGUCUGUAUGCUCCGAAUCUUCUGGGCUACAAGCGCGCAACAAUGGCGAAGACAAUGGGCUGCGACUCCGAGAGGGGAAGCCAAUCCUCGAAACUUCGUCUAAGUUCAGAUCGUGGAUUGUAACUCAUCCACGUGACGCUGGAAUCCCUAGUAAUCAGGUAUUAUCAGUGCCUGGUGAAUAUGUCCCUGCUCCUUGCACACACCGCCCGUCAUUCCAACCGAGCAGUGUUUAGGUGAGUACCAUGUGUAGUGCGUAGUACGAAUCUAAGCUCAGUGAGGCGGGACAAGUCGUCACAAGGUA